rfam:Spinacia oleracea cultivar SynViroflay scaffold22469.con0005.1, whole genome shotgun sequence.
AGCCUAUUAGCUCAAUCGGUCGAGCAUUGUGUACUUGCUUGGCAUUGCACAAAGGAUGUAGGUUCAAAUCCUACAUAGGCUA